rfam:Glossina palpalis gambiensis isolate 146720 unplaced genomic scaffold Scaffold17, whole genome shotgun sequence.
UUAUCGGACUUUUUAAAGUCCAUUAAAUUAAAUUAAAUUGCUUAAU